GACGAACGCUGGCGGCGUGCUUAACACAUGCAAGUCGAACGGAAAGGCCCUGCUUUUGUGGGGUGCUCGAGUGGCGAACGGGUGAGUAACACGUGAGUAACCUGCCCUUGACUUUGGGAUAACUUCAGGAAACUGGGGCUAAUACCGGAUAGGAGCUCCUGCUGCACGGGGGGGGUGGGAAAGUUUCGGCGGUUGGGGAUGGACUCGCGGCUUAUCAGCUUGUUGGUGGGGUAGUGGCUUACCGAGGCUUUGGCGGGUAGCCGGCCUGAGUGGGUGACCGGCCCCAUUGGGACUGCGAUACGGCCCAGACUCCUACGGGCGGCAGCAGUGGGGAAUAUUGCACAAUGGGCGGAAGCCUGAUGCAGCAACGCCGCGUGCGGGAUGACGGCCUUCGGGUUGUAAACCGCUUUCGCCUGUGACGAAGCGUGAGUGACGGUAAUGGGUAAAGAAGCACCGGCUAACUACGUG
rnacentral:rRNA from 1 species